ACAUCCUUAGAUUAUAAUAAAACAUUUUUUUCUACAUUCUCCUCAUCUUCUCUCUCUUAUACUCCCCUUCCAUUCAAAAUUCACCACUCCGACCUCUCCCCCUCCUCCCUCUAUUCUCCUCCUCCUACAUCCUCCUCCUCAUCUCCUCUCUCUACUAUUCCCCUUCCUCUUCUUAAUUUUCUCUACCUCCUCCUCCUCCCCCUCUCCUCCUCCCCAAAACUCCUCUUCCUCGCUCCUCCUCCUCUUCCUGCUCUCCAUUCUCCUCCUAUCUCUCCUCUCUCACCCCUUCCUCCUCCCUAUCCUCCUCCCCCUCUCCCUCCUCUCUCUCCUCCUCUACCUCUUCCUCCUCCCCCUCCUCCUCCUCCUCCCCCUACUCCUCCUCCUCUCUCCUCCUUCUCCGCCUCUCCUUCUCCUCCCCCUCGCUCUCCUCUCUCUCCUCCUCCUCCUCCUCCUCCUCCUCCCCCCUUCCUUCUCCUCCUCCUCCUCCAGGGGAGGGCUGGGUUCCCAGGUAUACCUGGAGAUAAAGGUGCUGAGGGGUCCAGAGGUCGUGAUGGGAUUCCUGGCCUCGACGGUCCACCAGGCAGACUGGGCGAUAAGGGAGAGAGUGGAGAAAGAGGAGAAAGGGGUCUCCCAGGGAGAGAGGGAGGGCCCCCUGGACCCCCCGGCACCCCCGGGGCCCCGGGACAGAUCCUCUACCAGCCGUCAAGUGACGGAGGAGCUAGUUACCCAGGGCGACCAGGAUUCCCGGUACGUGUCGCCAUCUCCGCCAGUCAGAGAACAAUCAGAACAACAAUUUUUUGCAUUUUUACAGCAUGUGAUGUUUUUCACUUCAGGGGCCGAUCGGACCCAAGGGAGACCCCGGACAGCCAGGGAUCCCAGGAGAGGCGGCUAAGGUAGGCUCCUGACCUACUGUGUUUCUGAGCAGGGAUGAUCAUGUUCUAUAGCUUCAGCUUUGUUUGUUUUUUAUUAUUUGUUUUUUUGAGGACAUUAGAAGUGAA
rnacentral:lncRNA from 1 species